CGUGACUCGAAAACUUGCAAAAACACUCGAAAACUUGCAAAUGUGCUCGAAAACCUAAAAAAUCGUCGAAUAAGAAAGAAAUCGUGGAUGUUUUGGACGGUAGCGGUCCUUUGCUGUACAUGGGAAGUGUUUUGUCUGAAUCGUGCGAGGAAUUGGAGAUAUUAAUGGAAUAUUUAUCUCUUGAAGACGAUGAUGGUGAGUGUUGACAUUUUAUAGCAAUAUGCCUUUGACUCUUUGACUGUAAAAAUAUAAUAUAGGCGAGAUUUUGAUUAGGUUUUCGUGUUUUAUACUGUUUCAUGAAAGUGAUUGUACCUUUACAAGUUCGUAAAAGCUGGGUAAAUGCUCUAUAAUACGGAUUAUUUUUAUUUAAUUCCGCAGAAUAAUUUCCACGUGCUAUUUUAUAUAAAUAAUAUAAAGUCAACAAGAAGUCCAACCUCGUACAAGAAGUCCUGCUCAGGGGAAACAUGAACUGAAUCGCUCUCGUCUAACCGUUUUGCCAAAAACGAAUAUAUUUUAUGUUGGUCUUAAGAGUUAAGCUAUUCUUUGUUUUUGCCAAAUGUGUAAGACUUUUCACUUUUGUUUAAAAUAGCAAUAUGUGAAGUAUGCAUGCUGAAUAAUAAUUUUUUUAAUGAAAAUUAUUUAGCCAAUGGGGAUCUCAGGUUCUAGCUCCUUGGUUAGUCGUCGGCAUUUGAGGUUUAGGAGUUCUGAACAGGCCUCCAUGUUAAGGAUUUAUUUUAACCUCUGUGUUUUACCUAGACCCCCCCCCCCCCUCAGGUUCAGCAUUACCACUUCAUCACCAGUAAAUAGGGUUGGGCAAUAUUUUGAUAUUAUCAAUGAUACACGAUGAUUGUACAUACUCAAGAUCAUCAUUAAUAUUGAAAGUAAAAGCUGAGUCGUCAUGGAGUUAUCGUGAACUAACAAAGCUUAAUCCAUCCCUGAAUUGGAAACCAAAAUUUCAUAUGGUGUGUAGGUAACAAUUGCAAGUGGAAUUAAUAGUUGAAACAACCUAUUUUCCCUCAUGCAUAUAUAACUUGAUGUGGUACGAGGCUAGCUAAACUAACAAUAACGAGGAGCCAACCAUGUUAAUUUCUUUUGAAAACAAAGUUGUCCAUGAGGUCAUAAAGACCCAAUACUUUAUUAUUUUGUUUGAUAAUUGCCAAGGAUUUUACACAGAAUCCCCUCCCCCAAUACCCCCAAGUGAAUCCAUCCCACUACUACACAAAAUCUACUUCUUUCCCUCUGAGUCAGAUUUUCAUAUUUUUGUUCGGGGGGAUGGAUAAAUAUCUGGGGGGGGUGCUGCUGCUUACUUUGGCCGGAGCGUGGUGGCAACGCCCGGAAAGGCCAAGGAAAAAGUUUAACAAAAUUUUUUUCUGGGCCUGCAUGGCGAGAUCUGAGACCAUAUUGGUAUUUUACAAAUUUAGUAGUAAGAAUAAUCAAAUAUGAAACUAUCAAAUCAAAAUAUAUGUAAUUUGCGCCCGGGUGUAUAUAUAUAUGUAAUUUGCCAAAUGCCUUUGGGGGUGCAUAUAAUUUCUGGGAGGGUGUGCACCCCCCACCCCCACCCCAGAAAAUCUGUGCCUGCUCUGAGUUAACAAUGAAAGCAUUUUUUUUACAGAUCUCUGCAAUAUUAUGUUUACAAGUUCCUUGAAGAUAUUAUUAUAAUUAAUGGUGACAUAUGUCUGUACAUUGUAGAGCAUUUUGUACAUAUUUUGUACUUACUGAGGCCAAAUAAAAAUAAUAGUUGGUUUCAGGUUUCACAGCCAUGUUUUAUAUGGGUAGGUAGGUCGGAAAAGCAUUUUAUUUAAAAAAAUAUUUUAUCUCAACUGUCACACAUAAUCAGACGUGCCACAUGGGAUCAACCGCGAGCUACACAUGUUUUGCGAGAAACAAAUGCAUCAAGGAUUAACAUAACUAGAUAAUGAUUAAAUUAUGAGCAAACAAAAUACUUUGAAGCAAAUGAGUCUGAUGACUAUUUAUAUAUUCUGAUAUUUACGAAAAGAUGAUCCCUACUGGGAAAUGUCAAUAAAAUGUUUAUGGUCGGUCAUAUUUUUGACAGGUCGGUCAGAAACCUGAAACCAACUAUUAUUUUUAUUUGGCCUGAGUACAUUUUUUAUUUUAUUCAGACAAUAGAUAAAUUUGUAUCAUAAUUAAAUUUGUAUCAAAAUCUGUAAUUUAAUAAAUAUUCAUUCCAUCUUGUUUCAUUUCUUGUUUUCUUUAGUAGCCUGCAAUUAAGAAAAAAUCUUCUUAGAAAAUCUGACAUUUUUGAAAACUUGUUACAUGUAUAUACACAAGGCUGUCGGAAGUGAAUCAAUAUUGGGAU
rnacentral:lncRNA from 1 species